rnacentral:misc_RNA from 2 species
CACCACUCAAGCCUCGCUUGGUAUUGGGCGACGCGGUCCGCCGCGCGCCUCAAAUCGACCGGCUGGGUCUUUCGUCCCCUCAGCGUUGUGGAAACUAUUCGCUAAAGGGUGCCGCGGGAGGCCACGCCGUAAAACAACCCCAUUUCUAA